UACGAAGGGGGCUAGCGUUGCUCGGAAUUACUGGGCGUAAAGCGCACGUAGGCGGUCUUUUAAGUCGGGGGUGAAAUCCUGGAGCUCAACUCCAGAACUGCCUCGAUACUGGAAGACUCGAGUCCGGGAGAGGUGAGUGGAACUGGCGAGUGUAGAGGUGAAAUUCGUAGAUAUUCGCAAGAACACCAGUGGCGAAGGCGGACUCACUGGCCCGGUACUGACGCUGAGGUGCGAAAGCGUGGGGAG
rnacentral:rRNA from 1 species